GGUACUUUCAGUGCCCGAGUUGUAAUUUGUAGAAUUUGUCUUUGAUUAGGUCCUUGUCUAUGUUCCUUGGAACAGGACGUCAUAGAGGGUGAGAAUCCCGUUUGGCGAGGAUACCUUUUCUCUGUAAGACUUUUUCGAAGAGUCGAGUUGUUUGGGAAUGCAGCUCAAAGUGGGUGGUAAAUUCCAUCUAAAGCUAAAUAUUGGCGAGAGACCGAUAGCGAACAAGUACAGUGAUGGAAAGAUGAAAAGAACUUUGAAAAGAGAGUGAAAAAGUACGUGAAAUUGUUGAAAGGGAAGGGCAUUUGAUCAGACAUGGUGUUUUUUGCAUGCACUCGCCUCUCGUGGGCUUGGGCCUCUCAAAAAUUUCACUGGGCCAACAUCAAUUCUGGCAGUAGGAUAAAUCAUUAAGAAUGUAGCUACCUCGGUAGUGUUAUAGCUUAUUGGAAUACUGCUAGCUGGGAUUGAGGACUGCGCUUCGGCAAGGAUGUUGGCAUAAUGGUUAAA
rnacentral:rRNA from 1 species